AAAACAGCAAUCAGAGUUGAGGACAGAGCAGGAUCAGGGUAUGAAUCCCUGGGAACUAGAUCAAAUUCCUGGGAGAACUUCAGACUUUCGAAGGCCAUGAGAUAGCUGGCUUCAAACCAAGAAUCCAGGAGACGCAAGGAACCCGGUGACCUCUGGCUUCCAGGGGGAAGACAUAGAAAACUAGCUAAGGUCUAGAAGGCCCAGGAGGGUAGAGGGAGGGAGACGUAGGCUAGAGGGUGGGGGAGGGGCUCUGGUCCAGCCUGCUCCCCUGCUGUCCCCUCCCCAGCCCUCAAGAGCCCUUUGUGACAAGGCCGCACUUCUGUCAUGGGGGCCUGGGGUAAUAAUCUCCAAGCCACUCCCAGAGCUCAGUCGCCUGAGGGCAGCACUGCGUUUCAGACAUGCAGAAUCCUCUCAUGUUUCUGAAAAGCCUCUUUGCUACCUGGCCGAGCUCCAGUUCCACUUCCUGGGUGAUUGGGACCAUCCUCCCCUUCCUGUGUGGACUGGGGCUCUUCCUCCUGUGCCUUCCCUCCCUGCAGAGGAAUCCAUCCUCACGACCACCUUGUGAACGCAGAAACAUAAGGAAGCGUCAAGUGGAGCCAAGAGGGAAGAGCAGCAGGAGCAGGAAGAAAAGGGGAGCUUUGAAAGCUUCCAGAGCUGCUGGGAAGGGCCUGGCAGAAGUGCGGGGCCAGGUGUCGCUUUCGCACAGCUCCCCAGGGAGGCUGUCUUCCAAGGGAUGCUCCCAUCGCUCAUCAUGUCAAGACUACCCUGGGGAGGCGAGCAACACAGCAUACGCCAGAGCCCAGCAGCCAUGCGGAAAGCCUGUGGCAGGUGCUACUCUCACCGUGACUCCAGCACAUUCCCUGAGUCCUCUGACCCACACCCCUAUACCUCUGGCCUCCACCCUGCCAGCAGAACCUCCAGCUGACUUGACCGGAAUCCCACUGGACACUACUGCCAUGAGCACAGCUCCAGCUCACUCCUGUUGGCCAUUUCCCAACUCAGGCCACGGCCGCAUGAGCUGGCGCGUCGAGUUCCUCUCCCGGUGGAACAUGAUCAAGGUCUUGUUCUUCCCCGGGUCAGCACACCUCCAGUCCCAGCAAGGGCACCUGUCCUGCCACCGACCAGUAGCCUCAUUCCGGGGAGGCCCCACACAUAGGGAGGGAGAGACGGAUAGCCCCUCAGUUGCCAACCCUGAUGCGCCAAAGCUGCUCAAGAUGGAAAUCAGGAAAAGAACACAAACGAAGGCCUGGGAAAAAGAAGAACAAGACGACCCAGGCAGCCCUCAGAUGCUCGAAGCACCCAGUAUCACGUCUGGGCUGAAUUUCCGCUGGCGCCCACCCCUCCUGUCCUUGGAGUCGGCUGAUCUGAACGCAAGUGAGGCUCAACCCUCGGCCCUUCCACGGUCUACUUUUCCCUCCUCUGCCACCCGUGAUUCUGGCACCCGCUUGGAGGCCGACAGUGCAGAGUUCUCGGGAAAACCUCUUGAGCCCCACCCAGGAGAGAAACAUAAGACUUUGACCACAAAAGCAUCAGUUCUGCGCCUGGCCCAUCCCCUCCCUUCAACUUCACCUGUGAGUGAGGAAAACCAGAAGGCCCCGGGAGGGACCCUACCUGGCAAUGGCUGUGGGCCCUCUGAGGCCUCUCUGAUGGGACAGCAGGGCCGGCCGCCUUCUCCGAGCUUCGCAUUCAGCCUCUCGGACAGAAAUGGGCAGAGCGGGACGGUCGUGGGGGCCAAGCAAGGCCGUCUACACCUGAGUCCAGGGUCAGCAAUGGCCAGGAACGAGCCUCUGAAAGAGAGUGGAGGUGGGGCGUCACCAGAGCCCUGCCGUGGGGUGGCAACACUGGAGGGCGAGUCAGGGUCCCAGUCUUGGAGCCAGGUCGGAGGAACAGGAGACGCCCUCGGGACCAAACCCCUCCAGGCCCUGCCUGAAAAAGAAGAGGUUUUUCACGUCAGCCCUUUCAGAAAAAUGUUGAGACGCUUCCUGCCCUGCCUGAGGCCCAAGAAGGAGGAAGCACCAGAGGAGCCCCUUGCAAAGGCAAGCCCGCGUCAGCCACCGCCCAGAGCCAGGCACGGGUCACACGCAGCUCGGCGUCGGAUGGCAGGGCUGUUCAGGCGCCAUCGACAGUAUCAUCCUUUGUCUGGGCACUGGGAGAGAGACUGAGGGUUCGCCAAGGACUUCUAGUUUUUCUCCUUACCUCACCCUCUGUGGUGAUGGUGACUUCCAACCCCAAUUUUCCCCAAAUACAUGUUUUUUCUCCUGAGACCUGGUGGCCUCCGUCUUGCCCUGCUAGGGGUAGAAGCAGGGUCAGGCUCCGCCCUCCCUGAGUGUCUGCUGUGGCUUCCAGAAGGGACAGGGCCAUGCGGGGAGGCUGACUGCAGCGUGGCUCACGCGCCCUGACCCCAACUCCCUCAUUGCACGCGAAGUACCCAUCACGCCAUCCUUACAAAAACAAAUGGAAGCUUUAGGAUAUUUCCAGAGGAGCAAAACCUCUAGACCCCAGCCCAGGAUGGGCCCCACCCGUCCUCUCCUGCGUUCUCUGGCCCUUGAGCUUCUGGGGCUGUAGGGAGGGGGUUUGCAGAGGCUCCAGGAAGUGUAGAGACAGAUUCACAGGUCACAGGGCGGGGAGGGGAGUGUGGGGCAGUGCUGGCCCUGAGUCCGGAGAGGGAAAGCUUGCCCUGCACCCCGAGCUCUUGGUGGGAAUAGAUGACGCUGCCCCAGGAGCUUCUUCUGUCCCUGCUGAAGCUGCCAUGGAGAUGGGCCUGCGCAACCCCCUCAGCCCAGCGUCGCCCUCCCUCUGUCCUUGUCACAGUCUGGAACAGCAGCGACGACCACGACUGAGCUCCAGCCUCUGAGGGUGGGCGGUUGGGGAGCACAGAGGCUGCUGCGGGCCUGUCCCCUCUGCCCAGAGGAGCACAGGGCCCUGCUCUCCUGCACCUGCCUUCUCCUCCUGGGGAAUGGAGCCGGGGGAGAACAUUAAGUAGACAGAGAGCCACACCUAUGGAGCAGGUCCCCUGAAUGAACUGGAUUUCCACUUGAAUUAAGAAGAAACUCAUCGUCGCUGUGGACUCAAAUUAUUUGUGAAUGAACAGACAACUUCAGUUUCUCAUUUGAAUACUAGCGCAGAAUCACUAGAUUAAAUGGUAACGGAAUCCAAUGAAUCCCAACAGAGCAAGAAAGUGUCAGUGUGUUCCUGGCCUUCCUAUCGCUUCUCUACUGAAUAGAAGAGCAAAGGGAACCUUUCUGAAACUCGUCUUAAUAUCGG
ensembl:lncRNA